rnacentral:lncRNA from 1 species
UUUAAAGCCAUCGCCCAAGGCACCGGGAGACACCAACCUCGGAGACAAGCCACGGAUGGCACCAUGUCACUCGGUAUCAAAGAGCACCCUGAUGCUGAGGUACAAAAGAACCGGGUACUAACCCUGGACGACUGGCAAGACAAGUGGGUGACCCGUCACAUCGCAUUCCAUCAGGAGCAAGGGCAUCAGCUAUUAAAGAAGCAUUUCGAUACAUUUCUUAAAGGGCAGAGUGGACUGAGAGUGUUUUACUUUUUCGAAAAAUUGUAUCUCCUUACUGAGAAGUAGGAAAAACAAAAACAAAAACAAAACCAGGCCAGUACCGGAGCACACCUUUUAUCCCAGCAGGCUAGCCUGGUCUACAGAGUGAGUUCCAAGACAGCCAGGAUACACAGAGAAACCUUGUCUAGAAAAACCAAAUAGAAAACCAACCAACCAACUUAACCAAAAAACACCCAGUCAAUCCCUGUAAGAGUUUCUGAACGAUUAAAAAUUCUGUUGAAGGUU